ensembl:lncRNA
UGCUUUGCCUGCUGCUGGUGUCUGAUAGAUACUUUAUUGGGAGAUUCGUUGUCAUCUGCGAGGAUUAAAACCUGACAGGCUGAAAUGAUAUUGGAAACUGAGGAGCUGAGGGUUUCGCUGGAUGGAGCCCGGUGUGUGUGGCAAGUGGCAGCGUAUUUCUUCUUGGCACCGCAGUUCUAUUGAUCGCUGUGUAAUACAUGGGGCUUCGUGCCUUUAAUUCUAUCAGGUGAAGAUGAUGGAUGGGCAUGUGGGCACCUUUAGGCUGGCAGCACUCUGUGUGUUAUCCAAGCACGCGUCAGCCCACGUUGCUGACGUGCCCAAGUGUUUGCUCACUGCACAGGGGCCCUGGAAGCGAUGCAGGCAAAGCACCAACGCUCAGACUGGGGCAGCCGUGGCUUUCCCUACUGCAAGCAAAUAUAAAAAGAGAGCUGUGUGAGUCAGGGUGAGUUCUGAGAGGAGGUGCUGAAAUAAAGAUCACUGCAAGGAGGUGAAAAGGAAUGCAGGGCCACGUCUCUUCUGGUGCAGACUUGGUGUGAGGCAGCCUGGAUCCCAUGGGUGCUGGCAGUGGCUCCGCAUCCCGCGUCACGGCCGUGUCCCCGGCGCAUCCGGGAGCACUGCAGGCCAGGGCGACCCUGCCCCGGGUUUUCUGCUGCUUUGCUGGAUGGUUUCACAAAUAACUGUUUGCCAUGAGAUAUCGCUUCUCAUUCUGCAUGAAGGGGCUGUUUUAUUUCAAUCUGCGGGAGGGAAUGAUGAAAUCCAUUACGUCCAAUGCUCCGAAAGCAUCUAUAGCACAGCUUCUGCGAGCUCAUAUUUUUUUUCCCAGAGACCGAUAACUUGGAGGCUUUGGGCUUUUGUACAAUCUUUAAUCUUCUAAAGUGCGGCAUAAUUUAGCUAAGAAGUGGUUUGGUAAAUUUCUUUUUCUUUUUUUUAGCGCUUUUAAGCUCUGCCCAUGCUGAGCAGCCUCUGGACCUCGAGGUGCAGGGAGGCAUCGUGCUCCAGAUCUGAGAUGGGGAGAGCAGAUGGGCUCAGCGUUGCUGCGGCUGCUCCAGGUCCCGAGUGUGGUGAUGGGUUCCACACAAACCCCAUGUGGAAACUCUGGUGUCUGGGAGCUCCCUGGUACCCGGUGCUUGGUCCAUCACUGCUUUCCUUUUGUCUCCUGCUCCAAAGUGCUGCUGUGCUGGUGCUGAGCUCGCUGCUGGUGACCCAGCCCUUCCCACCCACGGAACGCGUCGGUCGGGAACCCAGAGCUGGAACAGCCUCGUGGGAAACACUGGGACGGAUGAAUCAAGGAGUAAUUUUCUGUUUAUGGAGCAAUUGCUGUGUUGUGCAAGCAGCCCUUUGUCAAGAGAGGGAAUUUACCAGCUGUUGGCAACCCACAUCAGAUCAUUUUAAACGAGUUAUUCAAAAUAUCAUUAAGGAUCCUCAGCUCGCGGAGAAGGAAAGAAAACCAAAACCUGCAGCUGAAGGCGGUGCCUGGGAGGGAUGCUGGCAUGGAUGAGGUGAUACUGGGUCACUCUGGGAGCUGCCAUCACAGCGGUGGGGCCGGGCUGCCCCAAAGCCACGGCUGGGGAGGAGGGAGGCAAGGAGAAACACAGACACUGCUCCGGCUCUUUGAGAAGGGCUGGAAAUGCCGACAGCCCACAGACUGCCCUGUUUCCAUGGCAACAGGAGGAUGCAUCCAAAAGGACAAAGUUUGGAACACUCCCACAUAUGAGCUGGGAUUUUUGUUGUUGUAAGUCAAUUCCGUGUUAUUAUACCUUAUUUUUGUAGCGAUAAUCUCCUGCUUUAAUAGAUCUCAGAAGUUUUUACAAGCAUCUCCCAGGUCUAUUUUUACCUCUCUCUGGUGCAAAAAAAAAAAAAAAAAAAACAAAUGAGAGGAAGUCAGAAGAGGGGGGAAAAGAAGGCACAGAGUUGGGAGACAAAUGUCAGCACAGCUUUGAUCCCCCCCCGGAUGCAGCUCCAGUUGUAUCAGUUUAUAAGCAUUAGAUUUGCAUAUUCAUGUCCCUUAAUUUGCUCUUCGGGGGCUGAAAUCUAAUAAUUAAUGAACAAAAUCUUCCUGUGUGUGGGGAGGAAACCCUGGUUAUGCAAUAGAGAGAUAAUCAGACAUAAAUAACCUGGUGUGCUGGAGGAAAGGAAAGGCAGCCCGAAAUCACAGUGCAUGACAGCAGAUCUCGGCCGGGCCGGGGCUGUGUGGGGCUGCAGUGGGCAGCCUCCAGCAGCGUGAAUCAAGCAAUAAAUCCCCUGUGUUCCCCCUUUAUUAAAUUCCU